rnacentral:rRNA from 1 species
UACGUAGGGUGCGAGCGUUGUCCGGAAUUAUUGGGCGUAAAGAGCUUGUAGGCGGUUUGUCGCGUCUGCUGUGAAAUCUCAAGGCUCAACCUUGAGCUUGCAGCGGGUACGGGCAGACUAGAGUGUGGUAGGGGAGACUGGAAUUCCUGGUGUAGCGGUGAAAUGCGCAGAUAUCAGGAGGAACACCGAUGGUGAAGGCAGGUCUCUGGGCCGCUACUGACGCUGAGAAGCGAAAGCAUGGGGAGCGAACAGG